UUUGGGGAGCCGCGUGCCUAAUUUUGCAAGUCGACCGGACAGAUGGGAGCUUGCUCCCUGAUGUUAGCGGCGGACGGGUGAGUAACACGUGGGUAACCUGCCUGUAAGACUGGGAUAACUCCGGGAAACCGGGGCUAAUACCGGAUGGUUGUUUGAACCGCAUGGUUCAGACAUAAAAGGUGGCUUCGGCUACCACUUACAGAUGGACCCGCGGCGCAUUAGCUAGUUGGUGAGGUAACGGCUCACCAAGGCAACGAUGCGUAGCCGACCUGAGAGGGUGAUCGGCCACACUGGGACUGAGACACGGCCCAGACUCCUACGGGAGGCAGCAGUAGGGAAUCUUCCGCAAUGGACGAAAGUCUGACGGAGCAACGCCGCGUGAGUGAUGAAGGUUUUCGGAUCGUAAAGCUCUGUUGUUAGGGAAGAACAAGUGCCGUUCAAAUAGGGCGGCACCUUGACGGUACCUAACCAGAAAGCCACGGCUAACUACGUGCCAGCAGCCGCGGUAAUACGUAGGUGGCAAGCGUUGUCCGAAUUAUUGGGCGUAAAGGGCUCCAGGC
rnacentral:rRNA from 1 species